AUUGAACGCUGGCGGGAUGCUUUACACAUGCAAGUCGAACGAGUGGCGGACGGGUGAGUAAUAUAUCGGAACGUGCCCCGUAGCGGGGGAUAACUACUCGAAACAGUGGCUAAUACCGCAUACUAUUGGAGCGGCCGAUCUGGGAUUAGCUAGUUGGUGGGGUAACGGCUCACCAAGGCAACGAUCCUUAGCUGGUAUGAGAGGACGACCAGCCACCCUGGGACUGAGACACGGCCCAGACUCCUACGUGAGGCAGCAGUGGGGAAUUUUGUACAAUGGGGGUAACCCUGAUCCAGCCAUCCCGCGUGUAUGAGAAGGCCUUCGGGUUGUAAAGUACUUUCAGUCGGGAGGCGUUACCCACAGAAUAAGCACCGGCUAACUACGUGCCAGCAGCCGCGGUAAUUC
rnacentral:rRNA from 1 species